rnacentral:sRNA from 1 species
GCCGGGCGCGGUGGCGCACACCUGUCAUCCCAGCAGCUCAGGAGGCUGAGGCAGGAGGAUCAUGAGUUCAAAACCAGCCUCAGCAAAAGCGAGGUGCUAAGCAACUCAGCGAGACCCUGUCUCUA